UACGUAGGGUGCAAGCGUUAAUCGGAAUUACUGGGCGUAAAGCGUGCGCAGGCGGUUUUGUAAGUCUGUCGUGAAAUCCCCGGGCUCAACCUGGGAAUUGCGAUGGAGACUGCAAGGCUAGAAUCUGGCAGAGGGGGGUAGAAUUCCACGUGUAGCAGUGAAAUGCGUAGAGAUGUGGAGGAAUACCGAUGGCGAAGGCAGCCCCCUGGGCCAAUACUGACGCUCAUGCAGCGAAAGCGUGGGGAGCAAACGAGGAUUACG
rnacentral:rRNA from 1 species